ensembl:lncRNA
AAUUUUUAUCUGAUUACAAAUUAUAAUCCGUUGCUCUUUUGCAAAUUAGCAGUCGUGGGUCGAACUCUUUUGUGUUUCCUUUGCCGUGACCUUCCAGGGUGAUCAAUGUGCUGUUCUUCUUUCAAAAAGCCAAAGGUCAUUGCACUGCACACGUUGUAGAAAAUAAAUGAGUUUAUUUGUUACAUGUUUGAGAUGAUUGCUACCAAGUCGGAACAAGAACCUAAACAUUAAACAAGAGCUCUUCAUUAACCACACACAGAGCCUACGGUGAGCUAACAGAAUACUGGGCGUAGAAACUUUUCAGAGGACUUAUUCCACGCUUACUUCUUACCAUUUCAAAUGUCAGUCAUGUUGUGUUACUAUCUGAAUAAACCAAGGUACCUUAUUGUCUAAACGAUUAACAGUGAUCUUCAAACACUAGAUAGAGAAUAGCCCACAGCCAGGAGGACGCUUUGGGGAGUGAUUCUAUACAGGUUUCAUAUCCGGGCAGGACCACUUUACCCUUAAGUUCCCCUCAGCUCGAUGUACACAACACUUAAAACAAAACCACUUAAAACAAAACCACAGUUCAUGUGCAAAAGGCAGCGAACAAGAUGACCACCAAGCCAAACGAGAUGACCACCAACCCAAACGCGCCCUUGGAGAUCCACCACCACCAUGCUCCCAGUGAGGUCCUCAUCGCCGGCUGAUUCACAUGCACGCUGCUAGUGUGCACGUUAGCGUCUGUUCCUCACCUUCCACUUGACCAGCAGUACCUCCUCCGACCAGAAGGGGCUCCUUCCUGAACCUCUUCCUGGUUCGCUGGUUUGGGUUCAAGUCUCACAGGGGGAGUCUGUUAAAAAUGGCAUUGCGAUAAAGAAAGAUACGAAUAAAGAACUGAUCCGUUGAAUCCACUCGAGAGAGCCGGGUGGGCCUCUGAGUGAGGAAGUUCUUGGGGAGGUUGUGGGCAUGUCCACGCAGACCCAGGUGUGACGGACAGAAACAUGUGACCAGGAAGUCAGUGCCUCAUCACAGGCUUAAAACUUAAACCUAAAAACCAAACAUAGAAAUUAGAAAAUAAACUGAACUCUUGUUGCAUAAGUUGUAGGCCAGAAGGGGUUUGAAUACACAAACAUGACUUAGGUUAUACCGAGUAUGACGAGAAUUUAAGCAAACUUAACAGGUGUGUCGGGAACAGGUAUCUAAUGCAACGUUAUCUCCUCCGAGGACGCCAUUUUGGCGGGGGUCCUCAAAGUUUUCUAACACUUAUGCCAGCUCUACAACUUUAAAGUCCUCAAACUCUUAAGCUAGCUUGUUAAGAUAAAGGUCCUCAAACUCUUAAGCUAUCUUGUCAAGAUGAAGGUCUCCAGAAUCUUCCCAGGAUGGCUCCAAACCGUUUCACCACGGUUUUCCGUCGCAAAUAGAAACUGCUUAGAAAAGGGUUUUGCCAAAACAUUGAAAACAUGAAGGAGUAUUUACAUCCCACGAAAGACGUCUGUGAUCAAGGUUGAAGUAACAUCUGCUAAGGUAAAGACAUUUGAGAAGAAUCAAUGUCUAUAGAUUUGAAGUAUAAAUAUUAAUUCAUUUACAAUGUGUUUGUACACUACUAUAUAACCUCUAUGAUUUCUCGUGUGCAGAUCAGGUACACAGGCAAUACGUUUAGUAAAAAAUAUAUGCUCUUUCUGUUGACGAAUACCAUCUUAUUAACGUCACCCUGCAGGCGGGAGCCCAGGAGGAGACCAGCGUCUACAACAGCACCCAGGGGUGCUACAGCAGCACCCAGUGUCUACAGCAGCACCCAGUGAGACCCCAGUGUCUACAGCAGCACCCAGGGGUGCUACAGCAGCACCCAGUGUCUACAGCAGCACCCAGGGGUGCUACAGCAGCACCAGUGUCUACAGCAGCACCCAGUGUCUACAGCAGCACCCAGGGGUGCUACAACAGCACCCAGGAGGAGACCAGCGUCUACAGCAGCACCCAGGAGGAGACCAGUGUCUACAGCAGCACCCAGGGGUGCUACAGCAGCAUCCAGUGUCUACAGCAGCACCCAGAGUCUACAGCAGCACCCAGUGUCUACAGCAGCACCCAGGGGUGCUACAGCAGCAUCCAGUGUCUACAGCAGCACCCAGAGUCUACAGCAGCACCCAGUGUCUACAGCAGCACCCAGGGGUGCUACAGCAGCACCCACCCAGAGUCUACAGCAGCACCCACCCAGUGUCUACAGCAGCACCCACCCAGAGUCUACAGCAGCACCCAGAGUCUACAGCAGCACCCAGAGUCUACAGCAGCACCCACCCAGUGUCUACAGCAGCACCCACCCAGAGUCUACAGCAGCACCCAGUCUGCAGCCGUCCACCGUGGAGCCUUCACUACCAUCAGAGGCAUCUAUCCAAAGGGACUGACCGCAGGUCAUUAAGGAGAGGGAGGGGUCCGGGGGAGGGGUCAGGGGUCAUUAAGGAGAGGGAGGGGUCAGGGGUCAUUAAGGAGAGGGAGGGGUCAGGGGUCAUGAAGGAGAGGGGGGGGUCCGGGAGGGGUCAUUAAGGAGAGGGAGGGGUCAAGGGUCAUUAAGGAGAGGGAGGGGUCAGGGGUCAUUAAGGAGAGGGAGGGGUCAGGGGUCACUAAGGAGAGGGAGGGGUCAGGGGUCAUUAAGGAGAGGGAGGGGUCAGGGGUCAUUAAGGAGAGGGAGGGGUCGGGGGAGGGGUCAGGGGUCAUGAAGGAGAGGGAGGGGUCAGGGGGACGGGUCAGGGGUCAUUAAGGAGAGGGAGGGGUCAGGGGUCAUUAAGGAGAGGGAGGGGUCGGGGUCAUUAAGGAAAGGGAGGGGUCGGGGGAGGGGUCGGGGGUCAUUAAGGACAGGGAGGGGUCGGGGGAGGGGUCAGGGGUCAUGAAGGAGAG